CAUCUGUUUUGAUCAUAUCA
rnacentral:snRNA from 1 species